rnacentral:rRNA from 1 species
AGUGAACGCUGGCGGUAGGCCUAACACAUGCAAGUCGAACGGCAGCACAGUAAGAGCUUGCUCUUACGGGUGGCGAGUGGCGGACGGGUGAGGAAUACAUCGGAAUCUACUUUUUCGUGGGGGAUAACGUAGGGAAACUUCCGCUAAUACCGCAUACGACCUACGGGUGAAAGCAGGGGAUCUUCGGACCUUGCGCGACUGAAUGAGCCGAUGUCGGAUUAGCUAGUUGGCGGGGUAAAGGACCACCAAAGCGACGAACCGUUGCUGGUCUGAGAGGAUGAACAGCCACACUGGAACUGAGACACGGUCCAGACUCCUACGGGAGGCAGCAGUGGGGAAUAUUGGACAAUGGGCGCAAGCCUGGUCCAGCCAUACCGCGUGGGUGAAGAAGGCCUUCGGGUUGUAAAGCCCUUUUGUUGGGAAAGAAAAGCAGCAGGUUAAUACCCCGCUGUUCUGGCGGUACCCAAAGAAUAAGCACCGGCUAACUUCGUG